rnacentral:rRNA from 1 species
AAUAUUGCACAAUGGAGGGAACUCUGAUGCAGCAACGCCGCGCGAGUGAAGAAGGUUCNCGGGUCNUNAAACGCUGUCAUGGGGGNCGAAUAAAUGACGGUACCCAAUGAGGAAGCCACGGCUAACUACGUGCCAGCAGCCGCGGUAAUACGUAGGGGGCGACCGUUGUCCGGAAUUACUGGGCGUAAAGGGUACGUAGUCGGCUAUAUAAGAAAGGUGAGAAAUACCAGUGCUUAACACUGGAAGUGCAUUUGCAACUGUGUAGCAUGAGUGCAGGAGAGGAAAGUGGAAUUCCUAGUGUAGCAGUGAAAUGCGUAGAGAUUAGGAGGAACACCAGUGGCGAAGGCGACUUUCUGGAAUGUAACUGACGCUGAGGUACGAAAGCGUGGGUAGCGAACA